rnacentral:rRNA from 1 species
GGCUCAGGAUGAACGCUAGCGGCAGGCCUAAUACAUGCAAGACUAGGGGGCAGCAAUGUCACCGUCGCACGGGUGCGUAACGCGUAUGCAACCUACCUAUCACAGGGGGAUAGCCUUUGGAAACAGGGAUUAAUACCGCAUAAAGCAGGGGCUCCGCAUGGAGAUAUUGCUAAAGAUUUAUCGGUGAUAGAUGGGCAUGCGUCUGAUUAGUUAGAUGGUGGGGUAACGGCCUACCAUGGCGAUGAUCAGUAGGGGGCGUCAGAGCGUGGUCCCCCACACUGGCACUGAGAUACGGGCCAGACUCCUACGGGAGGCAGCAGUAGGGAAUAUUGGGCAAUGGAUGCAAGUCUGACCCAGCCAUGCCGCGUGAAGGAAGAAGGUCCUCUGGAUUGUAAACUUCUUUUAUCGGGGAAGAAGAAUCGCCUUGCGAGGUGAAGUGACGGUACCCGAUGAAUAAGCCACGGCUAACUACGUG